UACACCCUUAAUUCAUGAGGGGGAAUUUCUUACUAGUAAUAAAAAAAAAUCUUUUAUUUAUACGGUGUAA
rnacentral:tRNA from 1 species